AGGGAGCAUACCCAUUUGUCCAGGAAUCUCCAUUCCCACUUGAUCUUGACAGCGAAAGUUCUGCAGGAAAGGAGCAGAUAGCAAUUGAGAAAAGAAUGUUCCACAGGCUCCUGAUUGAUGGGAUGAUGCCCAGCCAUGGUGACGGUGGAUCUUCCAUACCUGAUUUACUCAGACUCUCAUGUUACUCUCUUCCGGAAAGAUCCCUAUAAACACACCCAGAAUUAGGCUCUCUCACGUUUUCAGUGGAGUUGACAUCUAAAACUACUAUCACACCUGGCGUGGCACCUAUGGAGUUAAGGCUACAAAGCGAAAUAAGGGAGACUCAAGAUGGAGAAGACCCUCCAGGGUAAAAAUUAAGAUGAGAAGAGCCAUCCAUUAGGGGCCAUGUCUUCUCUUUCUGAGACUAUCUUCAAAGCGAUUCAUCAGUGUCAAGACAGGCAAGAGAGACCUGUGAAGAUCAAUUCCUCUGUGCAAGAUAAAUAGUUUAAAAUAAUUGUAUAUAUGUAAAGGGUUUGCCUUCUCAUAAUUGAAGAGAACAGAGGGAGUCAAGACAUUUUCAGGAAGAAUGUCUUCUGCUCCGUGCCAGAGUCUGUGCAUCUAACACAGAUUUGCUAGUAGUCGGCAAAAAGCCAAGGAGCUUAAUCAAUCUCUGAAGUUUAUUAUGAAUAACCCUUAAAGCGAAUGGAUCAUUCUUAGCAAGAACAUCAUCCUGGUUAUUUCCUCAUUUUUAUAAAUUGAUCUAUAACUUCGAAUCUGGAUCCUUGAGAGAGCUGCAAGGGAUAUGAAAAAUCAGCAAAUCCAGCAGACUGGUUUUAUCUCCAAAAAGAUCAAACAAAAGUGUUCCUAUUGAAGUUGGAGCAGGAUCACCUGCUCAGACUCUACUCCCCUUCUCCCCACGGUGACCCUACAGUGGCCCCUAAGGCACCUCCUUUGAACAUGACAGCUUUGAAGAAUAGUUCAAAACCACGGAUCUCACCAAAAACACCCAUUUUGUAGAUCAGGAAGCUGAGGUCCAGGGAAAGGAGGUAACUCAACCAAGGUCACACUCAAGGUCAAUGUGGAGGACAUGAUUGGGUGCUCACGCAGCAGCCAUUGCCCAACUCCUUUUUUUUUUUGCUUGAAGAGUCCAUCUCACACUAUAGGGACUAAAAAUGCCAGAUACUCACUUUCCUGACUUCUCCUAAAGCUAGAGCAUGGGCAUUGACCCAGUUCUGUCCAGUCCUGGGAAAUGUUUACCUCGGCAAUAUAAAGCAAGCAAGGAGAAACUGCCUUUCUUCUUGGCUUUUGAUGUGGCUGGGGUGAGGACAUGAUGACUGGAGCACUGGCAGCUCUCUCACAGCCAUGUGAACACAGCUUGCGGAUGACCAUUGUAGUAGUGGGAUCCAGCUGUGAAACAUAAGCUAUUCCAGGUGUUUAAGACAGGAAAUUAAUGCAAGGAUUACUUCCAUAGAUAAUAGAAGAGCUGACAAGCCAAAGGAAGUGAUGAGGGCCACACUCCUUCAAGAGGUUAACAACUGCAGGACGUUGUUAACAUUCUUAGGACUGGAGGGGCACAGGAUGGAGGAAUGAGAGCCCAGAAUCUGGAUUUGAGGUCUAAAAUCAUAGUCAAGAACCUCUGGGGAGUGUAGAGUUUGGGGGCAUGGUUAUCUGGUGUGAGUUCAAGCCCACAGUACAGUAGAGGCUUGAUCACUGUCAGAGACAGGAGCGAAAUGCCCCCACUUCAGCCUCCACCCCUUGUCUGGCCUCCAGUCCUCCAUCAGUGCCUCCUGUUGGCAGACCUCCCUAGAAUCCUGGGGAUGGAAGUUCCCUGAAAUACGGGCAGCGCAGAGAAUGCGGGCGAGACCAGAGGCAAUUGACACUACCAUCACACUGAGGCUGGCAGGGCAGAGAGAUGAAAAGUCUCUGGCCUUUGAUGACCUCACUGUGCCCUAGGCCGGUCCGCACCUCAUUUACUGCUGGAUUUCUUGUUCUGGAGCUAAGAAAGGAUGAAUUCAUAAGGCCCCUUGACCUGGGUAUCUGAUUCUUGCAGCUGAAGCAGCCUCAGUGUUGCAAUUGAACGUGAGGCAGAAGCUGUGCCUUCCAACUCCCAGUCCUAAGCCUGGGCCACUGCACCCGUGGAAGGCAAUGGGAGAGGUCAGAAACCUAAAUGUGUGCACUCUGCAGGUGAAGUCCACUUUAACCAGACAGAGAAAGGGAAUGAGUUGGUA